UACGUAGGAGACUAGCGUUGUCCGGAAUUACUGGGCGUAAAGCGCGUGUAGGCGGCAUACCAAGUCUGUUGUGAAAUCGCCCGGCUCAACUGGGCGGGGUCAAUGGAAACUGGUAAGCUGGAGGACGGUAGAGGCGAGUGGAAUUCCCGGUGUAGUGGUGAAAUGCGUAGAGAUCGGGAGGAACACCUGUGGCGAAGGCGGCUCGCUGGGCCGAUCCUGACGCUGAGGCACGAAAGCGUGGGGAGCAAACAGG
rnacentral:rRNA from 1 species